UCUCUUCGUCCCCCUCCCUCUCUCCCUUCCUUUUUUCGUCCUUGUCGGUUCACAGCCCCUCCCUCCCUCUUACUUCUCCACCUCCUCAACGUACAUUCACCGCCCACAGCCCUACUUCUCUCUUCCGCAUCUGUGUGCCUGUGCCUGAGAGACGUCAAGCGGCCGCAGCAACUAUUCUCAGCAGCAAAGAACGAGGCGAUACACGCACGCACGCACAUACACACAAGGUGCGGCGUGCACGAGAGAGGGGUUACCGUCAAGUAGUCUCGGGAAACUGCAAGAAUCAGUAAAAGCGGGGAGAAAGAACAACGACAACAACAACAACAACACACACACACACACAGAGAAGAGAAGACCACUCCCUCCCUGCCUUUGCGCGUGAGUGCGUGUGAAACUGUGUAGUGCAAAUCACCUCUCCAUCCUCCCCCCUUCACCCCACGACCUACGCCCCCCCCGUCAUCAACGCAUGCGCGCACGUGCCCUACAUAUCCGCCCUCUCCCUGCCUGUGAUUUUUCGGCCUUCGGAAACGCAAAGUUAGCAACGAAAUCAAUACGCGCAUUGAAGCGAGGCAUCCGCAACGAGCAUUUGGUCGGCGACUCCGAUAUUCUCCGUAAUCCACGCAUACACGCACGCACACACAUACGCUGACACUCACAGCAACAUCGCGGGCACACGUACCGGCUCAGACACACACGCACAUACGCAAUAAACGCUCAACGCGAACAAGCGGUUGCAAGCACAUCGGGGGUCUCUCUCUCUGACGGUCUGACGGUGGUGCGCAUUGUGCCCUCUUAGUAUACACCUUCCCCCCCCCCACCCCCUUUUUUUCGUUGUUGGUGGGGUGCGGUGUGUAUGCGUGGGUGCUGAGCCAUUGCCUGUGCGUUGUGUGUGCUUGUGUAUACGGAUAGUUUCCUUAGUUAACGGUGAUAGCCGUUUUGUGUGUGUGUGUGUGUGUGUGUGUGUCCCCCUCCCUCCGAGUGUGCGUUGGCUCCGAAGCAGCGUAGGAGACGAAGUAGAAGGCGAUUGUGUGAUCGGCAUUUCUCUCUCCCCCCUCCCCCGCCCUCCACACACACACGCACACCCUCUCAUUGUUUGGUUGUCGUAGUCUUUUCUCUGUCUGCCCGUGGGUGUGGGUGUGUCCGUCUGGGAUCACUUUCACGCCCUCUGAGCCGUAUUGCUUCUUGGGAGCGGCCCAGAAAAUCAUCUUAUCUAGCCCACAGUGCACUGCUCCGCAUCCUAAAAAGCUCAUCUUCUACGCCGGUGCGAAACACCGGCUUCUACGCGCGCGCGCACGAGCGCUCCAACAGCUCGAGCUCUCACUCUCCCCACACCCGUCUCCGGCCGCUUCUUGUUGAGGGAGGGGGUGCUUGAUUGGAAGCUCGACGCGCACGCAGCGAUCACGUCAUUGCGUGAAAGUGCGCGGUCGCCCGAGAGAUCCGGAAAGGGUGAAGUAGCAAGCAAACGAAACAGCGGAGGAGGCGAGCCACAGUCGGUGAGUCGAGCGACACAGUGCGGCGGCGACAUUCACAGGUCAUGUGAAUCAUCAUCACCGUCCGCACUGGCACUCGAUCAGCGAAUUUAGAGGUGAACAAAGCCGCAGGGCGCGAGGCGGGGUCAACUGAGAAGCAACACAAAAAAGAGACGAGGAACCUUAGCCAGCGCCAUGCCCAUCAACCCCGAAUACAUACCAUUGCCGAAGAGCAAGGAGAUGUUCGCGAUCGCGUCGUGGCGUGACUCUCCAGGGCUGAACGCGACGCCGGCCGCGCACCCUGGCGUGUCCGGCAGCCCGCAUCUUGCGUCACUGGAUGCCCUGCGGAACGGCAAGGGUAUGGCUGGGAUGUACGCGGCGGCAACCACCACCACCACUACCACGAACACAGUAGCUGCAGCUGGUGGCUCGCUCCUCCCCCCCGCCGUGCCGCCGGCGGAGGAUAGCAAGGACGCCGCCAAGAGCAAGGCGCCCCUGGCGGCAGCAGCAGGCAAGAAGAAGAAGCGCAAGCCCGCGUCGGGGGCAACGACGAGCACAGCGAGUGCAGCAGGAUCCGGUGCUCGCCCAGACGACGUGGACGACUUCUUUGUUCACAUCCUCCUCCCCUCCUGCGUCUCAGUGCAGACGCUGGAGUUCGAGCUGCAGGCGCAGACAACGCCGCUCAAGAGCAUCGAGGUGGGUCUGCCCAAAGUCUUGUUCCCGCGCAAGCCCGCCGGUGGCGCUGGCGGCGACGCGAGCCUCCCCACGACCACAGCGUUGGCCUCGGCAGUCGCAUCCGCCAAAAUCGUGUCUUCACCUUCGUGCGCGCCGGCAGUGAAUGCUGCGAACAACGAGCUUAGCCUCCCGCUCAUGUGCCUGCCUCCGGCGGACCUCCCAGAGCCGGCACCGAGUGAAAGCUCAUGUGGCGCCCCGCCGUCGGUAUCGGCGGCAGCGGCGGCGCACGUCAACGGCGACGGCACCGCCCCAGCAGCAGCGGCGUCGGCUGGACACCACGGAGGCGAGUACCAAGUGUCCCUGCUAUUUGCGGAGAAGGCAGAAGCGGAGAAAACGGUCACGUUCGUGCAGCGUCGCUGGCCCACUGCCGCCGUAUCGCUCGCGUCCCGCAGCCGCAGCGUACUAAACUCCACCCUGGUGCUGAAGGGCAUGCCAAACCAGGCCAAGACGGAGACGGUGCUCACAGAGAUGCAGAAUCUGCCACACACGCCUUCGUAUGUGCGGCUGCUCCGCAGCGAGCGCGGCGUCUUCAAGGGGGUUGUCUUCGUCAAGUACGCAAACUGCGAGGUCGCGGAAGAGUGCAAGCUUCGACUGGAGAAGUUCGUACUCGGCUCCCGUCCCUUGAAAGUGGAGUUCAAGAAGAAGAGCACGGCGGCGGCGAGCGUGAACGCCGCCAUUACCGAGAGCAAGCGCUCUCUACAGGAGCUGGUGCGUGAACUGCGCGUGAGCGCUGAGCACGAGGGCUUCCAUCUCUCUCGCACCGAUGUGGCGAAGGAGGCGCUGAAGGUGCUGAAGCAGCUCUGCCAGUCGUACGGGCUCCUAUUUGACAUGAACGAUCAGCAGGUGACAGUACGGCGGGUACUGGGGUCGAACGGCACCGGCAGCGAGAAGCCGUCGCCGGCGCUGCGGCCGCAGUCAAUGGCCCCCGCCUGGGCUCCGGCGACGCCAGCCCCGCUGCGGCCGAUGGACUUCAAAGGCAUCAGCCACUGGAAGGAUAUACGCAGCCAGGCCUCUACCCUCGGCAUAAUGCGGCCGCUUGGGCCAGAGGACGGCAAGCCGGCGUUCUCGGCUGGCCGCGGCCGACCUCUGUGACGCAAGGAGAAAGAUCGAGGGGUUGUGAAAGUGGGAUGCGGUAGCGCAUGGGCGAGCGGGAAUGAGAAUAGAUGCAGGGAGAGAGGAGCAGAGACGGUGAUAGCCCGAGCCUCAAUCACCACAAGGCGAGCAACCAUUUGGCCCCUCUCCCUCACCCCUUUCUUGGUGCCUCUGCAAGUGGAUGUGUCAGCGUGUGCCUGCAUUGUCGCUCUCUUGCUGUCUAUCUUGUUCUGACACCAUACCCGAGACUUGUGUUGUUUUUGUGUGUCUUUCAUUCGUGUGUGUGUGUGUGUGUGUGUGAGCAUGUGCGUGUUGGUGUUGUUGUUUGUGUGGCUUCCCCACACACACGCACACACCAGCACGCACAUGCGAGCACGCCAGAUACAUCAACGCACUGCGCCCCCUCUCCUCGUGUCGCGCCUCUUUCUCUUUUACUUUGUCCUGUCGUGAAAUUAUUUUCAUACUCUGUGUUCCUCCGUAAUAAAAGGGCAUCAUCACGCACUGGCGCACGACACACACAAAGUGUGGCCAACCGCAUGAGACCAGCCAAGAAAGACGGGAAAAGCAACGGUGUGAUUCGCCUCUUCGUGUCUUUUACUCUCUCCACACGUGGUGUGCGGCCGACCUCCCCCCCCUCCUUCCUCCGCUGCUCUGGAUGGUGCCUCUCUUGCAUGCGCGCGUCAGUCUCGCCGCCUCCCCCUUCCCCACCCUCCCCCGAACCCUUCUUUGCCCUUCGCUCUCUCGCUCUCGCUCUCUUUAAUGAACAGCACACCUGCGGCAGAGGCAGAGAGAGUGAAGGGCAAAGAAGGAUGGAGCGAAUGAAGGUGUGUGUGUGUGUGUAUGUGUGUGUGUGUAUGUGUGUUGGUGUGUAUGUGUUGGUGUGUAUGUGUUGGUGUGUAUGUGUUUUGGUGGGGAGAGUGUAUCGAGGGAGGGGGAGGGGAGCUUCGUUGAAAGCGAUCAGCAGUGAAAAGCGAGGGAGAUGCGGUGGAGCUAGUUUUUACCCUCACGAAGAGAUACAGAUAGGAGAGGUGGGUUGGGCAAGGGCUCUGUCGGUAUAUGUCCUCAGGUGGAAGACGCUAACGAGCCACACCACCAUACACGCAAGGAAAUAACGAGAGAGGAAAGACGGCAUGACGUGUUACUGCUGUCGUACUUCGAGUUGUGAACAUGAACGCGGGCGAGGGGCUCGAUGUGUGUGUGUGUGUGUGUGUAUGUGUGUGUGUGUAUGUGUGUGUGUGUCCCUCUCGUCUCUCUUCUGCCUCCCUCGUGCUGCUUCCACCUCCCACGCACAUACAUGCACACUGCCACCACCAUCACCUUCUGUGUGUUCACGAUCGAGAGGCCCCAAAAUAAAAGG
rnacentral:misc_RNA from 1 species